ACAAGCGGUGGAGCAUGUGGUUUAAUUCGAUGCAACGUGAAAACCUUACCCACCUUUGACAUGUACGGAAUCCUUUAGAGAUAGAGGAGUGCUCGAAAGAGAACCGUAACACAGGUGCUGCAUGGCUGUCGUCAGCUCGUGUCGUGAGAUGUUGGGUUAAGUCCCGCAACGAGCGCAACCCUUGUCAUUAGUUGCUACAUUCAGUUGGGCACUCUAAUGAGACUGCCGGUGACAAACCGGAGGAAGGUGGGGAUGACGUCAAGUCCUCAUGGCCCUUAUAGGUGGGGCUACACACGUCAUACAAUGGAUGGUACAAAGGGUCGCCAACCCGCGAGGGGGAGCCAAUCCCAUAAAGCCAUUCGUAGUCCGGAUCGCAGUCUGCAACUCGACUGCGUGAAGUCGGAAUCGCUAGUAAUCGUGGAUCAGAAUGUCACGGUGAAUACGUUCCCGGGUCUU
rnacentral:rRNA from 1 species